rnacentral:rRNA from 1 species
AUUGAACGCUGGCGGCAGGCCUAACACAUGCAAGUCGAGCGGAUGAAGGGAGCUUGCUCCUGGAUUCAGCGGCGGACGGGUGAGUAAUGCCUAGGAAUCUGCCUGGUAGUGGGGGAUAACGUCCGGAAACGGGCGCUAAUACCGCAUACGUCCUGAGGGAGAAAGUGGGGGAUCUUCGGACCUCACGCUAUCAGAUGAGCCUAGGUCGGAUUAGCUAGUUGGUGGGGUAAAGGCCUACCAAGGCGACGAUCCGUAACUGGUCUAAGAGGAUGAUCAGUCACACUGGAACUGAGACACGGUCCAGACUCCUACGGGAGGCAGCAGUGGGGAAUAUUGGACAAUGGGCGAAAGCCUGAUCCAGCCAUGCCGCGUGUGUGAAGAAGGUCUUCGGAUUGUAAAGCACUUUAAGUUGGGGGGAAGGGCAGUAAGUUAAUACCUUGCUGUUUUGACGUUACCAACAGAAUAAGCACCGGCUAACUUCGUG